AUUGAACGCUGGCGGCAGGCCUAACACAUGCAAGUCGAACGAGUGGCGGACGAGUGAGUAAUGUCUGGGAAACUGCCUGAUGGAGGGGGAUAACUACUGGAAACGGUAGCUAAUACCGCAUACCAUCAGAUGUGCCCAGAUGGGAUUAGCUAGUUGGUGGGGUAAAGGCCUACCAAGGCGACGAUCAGUAGCGGGUCUGAGAGGACGAUCCGCCACACUGGGACUGAGACACGGCCCAGACUCCUACGGGAGGCAGCAGUGGGGAAUUUUGGACAAUGGGGGCAACCCUGAUCCAGCCAUGCCGCGUGUAUGAAGAAGGCCUUCGGGUUGUAAAGCACUUUAAGUUGGGAGGCGUUACCAACAGAAUAAGCACCGGCUAACUUCGUGCCAGCAGCCGCGGUAAUAC
rnacentral:rRNA from 1 species